rnacentral:tRNA from 1 species
UAGCUCAGUUGGUUAGAGCAGUGGACUCAUAAUCCAUUGGUCCCAGGUUCGAGUC